UUAUGUGUAGGUUGCAGUAUUGUACUUUCAUGAUCAAAUUCACUUGGUUGAAAGGAUGUGGCUUAUUAACUAUUAUGGUUGGUGUCAGUUUGUUUAAUUGGUACAAAUACCUUAAGCUUCAGAAGGGACAUGCUGGUGGCAGUGACGUGGAAGAGCAUUCAAGAGAUUCUGCAGCUAAAUAUGUAAUUCUUGAGGAGAUGGAUGAACAAGAAGAUGGCAUCUGAAACCAUUAUGCACCAAAUAGUUCAAAGCCAAACAAUGAUCUCUAAAGACCUAUGGGCACAAAAUAAUCUUCCAGCAACAUGCAGUUGGCCUUCACCAUCUCAUCUUUUCGAGAAACACCUGUUUGUGUACCCUAUUGGAAUUGUGGUGUCAAAGUUCUUUCGAAGUUUCUUAGAGUGAACAAAUUUUUGAGAUAUAAUGCACUCCUACGAUCAACAUCACUUAUAUUCUAUAAAAUUAUGUACUUAAACAGUUAAGAGAUUUUGGCAUUUUUUGGAGUUGACAAGGUAUAUGUUGCAGAUCACAAUAGGUUGUAAUAGAUAAUUUUUUUCUCA